AGAGUUUGAUCAUGGCUCAGAAUGAACGUUGGCGGCGUGGAUUAGGCAUGCAAGUCGAACGGGCCUGGUUGCAAAACCAGGUCAGUGGCGCAAGGGUGAGUAAGGCGACGGCAACCAACCCCAUGGUUGGGCAUAGCCGCGGGAAACUGCGGGUAAUUCCCAGCGAUGUUCGCGUCGGGCAUCCGGUGCGAACCAAAGUUUCGGCGCCGUGGGACGGGCCGUCGUGGUAUUAGGUCGUUGGCGGGGUAAUGGCCCACCAAGCCUCUGAUGCCUACCGGGCGUGCGAGCGUGGCCCGGCACACUGGGACUGAGACACUGCCCAGACUCCUACGGGAGGCUGCAGUCGAGAAUCUUCGGCAAUGGGCGCAAGCCUGACCGAGCGACGCCGCGUGGAGGAUGAAGGCCUUCGGGUUGUAAACUCCUGUCGAGGGGGAGGAAGGCGCAAGCUUGACCUAUCCCUGGAGGAAGCACGGGCUAAGUUCGUGCCAGCAGCCGCGGUAAGACGAACCGUGCGAACGUUAUUCGGAAUCACUGGGCUUAAAGCGCGUGUAGGCGGAUGGGGACGUCGGUUGCUGAAAUCCCCCGGCUCAACCGGGGAACGGGCGCCGAAACGCCCCGUCUGGAGGGACGUAGGGGGACCUGGAACUUCCGGUGGAGCGGUGAAAUGCGUUGAGAUCGGAAGGAACGCCCGUGGCGAAAGCGAGGUCCUGGACGUUUUCUGACGCUGAGACGCGAAAGCUAGGGUAGCGAACGGGAUUAGAUACCCCCGUAGUCC
rnacentral:rRNA from 1 species